rnacentral:lncRNA from 1 species
CUUCGGUGGCACAUCAGGAUUCAAGAAACGGUUUCAGCACAUAAAUAUCCAUGCACCGCAUCCAAAUAAUCCAUCAGUACAAAUGUUACAGAAGAAAAACACAUCUUGUCUUAAGACCAACUACAUACGCUAGAGUCAUCCAGUCAAGAGAAAUCCUGCUUCCGCAAUUGUAUCAGCAGCAAAAAAAAAUGCCAACGAAGAACAUACUCGGUCGCCUGGCAAUUCAAUAGUCAUACCAAAACAUUCAGGGAAACAAGCGGAGGCCCCCACCCCACAACACUUCCAGCAUUGUGGAACUAAGUGCUCACGCGUUAUUAGCAUAAGGGGACUCCUCACGCUGGGGUGGCUGUGCAGGGGACCUGCUAUAGCUCUGUUCACGAGCAGGUGGUGGUGACUUGCUCAUGCUUCUGGCACGAGGAGGUGGUGGUGACCUGCUGAUGCUUCUGGCACGAGGAGGCGGUGGUGACCUGCUGAUGCUUCUGGCGCGAGGAGGCGGAGGUGACCUGCUGAUGCUUCGUGCACGGGUAGGCGGUGGUGACCUGUUGAUGCUUCGCCCACGGGCAGGCGGUGGUGACCUGCUGAUGCUUCGUGCGCGGGCAGGCGGCGGAGACCUGGUGAUGCUCCGCGCGCGGGGAGGCGGUGGUGAUCUGCUGUAACUUCGCUUCCUGGGAGACCGAUCCCGUGGGCUGUAGCUCCUGAAUCAGGUAAAGAUAAAAGCAUUGAGCAUACAGCUGCUAAAGUAUUCAUAAGAGAUCUUACUAGAAUGGC